rnacentral:misc_RNA from 1 species
UACAGAGGCCUCAAGCGUUAUCCGGAGUUAUUGGGCGUAAAGGGUGUGUAGGUGGUUAUAUUAGUCUUGUGUUAAAUCUUCGGGCUCAACCCGAAAACCGCAUAGGAAACGGUAUAACUAGAGGAUGCGAGAGGUGUACGGAACUCAUGGAGUAGGGGUGAAAUCCGUUGAUAUCAUGGGGAACACCAAAAGCGAAGGCAGUACACUGGCGUAUUCCUGACACUGAAACACGAAAGCUAGGGUAGCGAACGGG